AGGCUCUUCAAAUCACUAGGAAUAAGGAAAUUUGAAAAUUUUUCAAUUUCCGUUGUCAUCUCCAUGAUUCGAUUUUCUUCAGUCUCCACUGAAGUUUUUAUGGCUUAAUUUUCUUUGUUUACUAGGAUAGAUAUUUCAAGAUUGCUAUUCUCAUUAUCAUCUACUUCAGCUUCUUUCUCUAGACGAGAUUCUUCAACAUGUAUUUCUUGAACAUGUUCUUCCACAUGUAAAGGCUCAACAAUACAAAGCUUCAAAUGAUUCAGGCUCAAGUUCUUCAAUUUCAAAUUUAAGUUGAUCUUCAAAUUCUUCUUCUUGUUUGUCAUCUUUCUCUUCAACUUCA
rnacentral:misc_RNA from 1 species